CGGUUGAUCCUGCCGGAGGUCACCGCUAUUGGAGUUCGAUUAAGCCAUGCGAGUCGAGAGGGUUCGGCUCUCGGCAGACUGCUCAGUAACACGUGGAUAAUCUGCCCUAGGGUGGGGGAUAAUCUCGGGAAACUGAGGAUAAUACCCCAUAGGUCUCAGAUGCUGGAAUGCUUUGAGGUCGAAAGCCCCGGCGCCCUAGGAUGAGUCUGCGGCCUAUCAGGUUGUAGUGAGUGUAAGGAACUCACUAGCCGACGACGGGUACGGGCCUUGGGAGAGGUAGCCCGGAGAUGGAUUCUGAGACACGAAUCCAGGCCCUACGGGGCGCAGCAGGCGCGAAAACUUCACAAUGCGGGCAACCGCGAUGAGGGAACUCCAAGUGCCAGCACAUUGUGCUGGCUGUUCACUUGCCUAAAAAGCAAGUGGAGUAAGGGCUGGGUAAGACUGGUGCCAGCCGCCGCGGUAAUACCAGCAGCCCAAGUGGUGACCGCUAUUAUUGGGCCUAAAGCGUCCGUAGCCGGGCUGGUAAACCCUUGGGUAAAUCGUACAGCUUAACUGUACGACUUCCGAGGAGACUGCCAGCCUUGGGACCGGGAGAGGUCGGAGGUACUCCAGGGGUAGGGGUGAAAUCCUGUAAUCCCUGGGGGACCACCGGUGGCGAAGGCGUCCGACUAGAACGGGUCCGACGGUAAGGGACGAAGCCCUGGGUCGCGAACCGGAUUAGAUACCCGGGUAGUCCAGGGUGUAAACGCUGCGGGCUUGGUGUUGGGGGUCCUACGAGGGCGCCCAGUGCCGGAGAGAAGUUGUUAAGCCCGCCGCCUGGGGAGUACGGUCGCAAGACUGAAACUUAAAGGAAUUGGCGGGGGAGCAC
rnacentral:rRNA from 1 species